ACAACUGAUUGUUUGAGAAUUCAAAUGAGGGAGUAACGCCCUGAAGGGAUUCCACUGAUACUCCAACAUGCGUUUGGUUGCGUAAUUAACCAAGGGUGUGAAGCUUGGUGAAGUCGACUUGAGCUUCUGUUAAUGGAAAUCCAUAUGAACAUGUGUUCAUAUGGAUUAAAGUUCUCAAAAUCGACCCAGAGGUGGGCGAGGAAGAUUGGUCGGGUGGCUAAAAA
rnacentral:ncRNA from 1 species